GGGCCCGCACAAGCGGAGGAGCAUGUGGUUUAAUUCGAUGAUACGCGAGGAACCUUACCUGGGCUCGAACGUAAGAUGACUGUAGGUGAAAGCUUACAUCCCUUCGGGGCAUUUUACGAGGUGCUGCAUGGUUGUCGUCAGCUCGUGCCGUGAGGUGUCGGGUUAAGUCCCAUAACGAGCGCAACCCCUAUCUUUAGUUGCCAACAGGUAAUGCUGGGGACUCUAAAGAAACUGCCUACGCAAGUAGUGAGGAAGGCGGGGAUGACGUCAAAUCAGCACGGCCCUUACGUCCAGGGCUACACACGUGCUACAAUGGCCGAUACAGAGGGCAGCUACCAGGCGACUGGAUGCAAAUCUCGAAAGUCGGUCUCAGUUCGGAUCGGAGUCUGCAACCCGACUCCGUGAAGUUGGAUUCGCUAGUAAUCGCAUAUCAGCCAUGAUGCGGUGAAUACGUUCCCGGGCCUU
rnacentral:rRNA from 1 species